rnacentral:rRNA from 1 species
GACGAACGCUGGCGGCGUGCCUAAUACAUGCAAGUCGUACGCUUCUUUUUCCACCGGAGCUUGCUCCACCGGAAAAAGAGGAGUGGCGAACGGGUGAGUAACACGUGGGUAACCCGCCCAUCAGAAGGGGAUAACACUUGGAAACAGGUGCUAAUACCGUAUAACAAUCGAAACCGCAUGGUUUUGAUUUGAAAGGCGCUUUCGGGUGUCGCUGAUGGAUGGACCCGCGGUGCAUUAGCUAGUUGGUGAGGUAACGGCUCACCAAGGCCACGAUGCAUAGCCGACCUGAGAGGGUGAUCGGCCACAUUGGGACUGAGACACGGCCCAAACUCCUACGGGAGGCAGCAGUAGGGAAUCUUCGGCAAUGGACGAAAGUCUGACCGAGCAACGCCGCGUGAGUGAAGAAGGUUUUCGGAUCGUAAAACUCUGUUGUUAGAGAAGAACAAGGAUGAGAGUAACUGUUCAUCCCUUGACGGUAUCUAACCAGAAAGCCACGGCUAACUACGUGCCAGCAGCCGCGGUAAUACGUAGGUGGCAAGCGUUGUCCGGAUUUAUUGGGCGUAAAGCGAGCGCAGGCGGUUUCUUAAGUCUGAUGUGAAAGCCCCCGGCUCAACCGGGGAGGGUCAUUGGAAACUGGGAGACUUGAGUGCAGAAGAGGAGAGUGGAAUUC